rnacentral:rRNA from 1 species
CCUACGGGGGGCAGCAGUGGGGGAUAUUGGACAAUGGGGGGAACCCUGAUCCAGCGACGCCGCGUGAGUGAAGAAGUAUCUCGGUAUGUAAAGCUCUAUCAGCAGGGAAGAAGAAAUGACGGUACCUGAGUAAGAAGCCCCGGCUAAAUACGUGCCAGCAGCCGCGGUAAUACGUAGGGGGCAAGCGUGAUCCGGAAUUACUGGGUGUAAAGGGAGCGUAGACGGUGAUGUAAGUCGGGAGUGGAAGGCGGGGGCCCAACCCCCGGACUGCUCUGGAAACUAGGUGACUGGAGUGCCGGAGAGGUGGGCGGAAUUCGUGGUGUAGCGGUGAAAUGCGUAGAUAUUGGGAGGAACGCCAGUGGCGAAGGCGGCUCACUGGACUGUAACUGACGUUGAGGCUCGAAAGCGUGGGGAGCAAACAGGAUUAGAUACCCUGGUAGUC